GGAAAGAGAAAAAAUGAAGGGAGGAGGAGGGAGGACAGAAAAAUACAGUGCUGGGGGACAAUCCAGCACGUUAAUUGCAAGGUAAACAACUGAAGAGGAGCAUCAACCCCACAGGAGCUCUCCUCCUCUCUUCUCCUCCCUCCCUCCUGUUUCUUUUCCUCUCGUCUUUUCAGAGGCGAGGUUGGUUAAGCCCCCCCUUCAGAAUCAGAAUCUGGACAAGCACCAGUUGGAGGCUAAUCCGGCUCGCCGACUGGACCCCUCCUCCGAAACGGCACAGCGGGGGCGGGCUGAUGAAAGGGAGGCUGAUAUGAGGGACAUGAAAGGCGUUGUAGAGGCAAACAGAGCGGCAGACACAGUCUGCCUCAGACCCCUGCGCUGCGUUCAGCAUCGUACAGCAAGCCUUUUAGGACAUUAAAACACCACAUCGUAAGAGCUGUUUUGUGAUUGAAGCUCAAGGCUGGUGUCCAACUUUGUUUUAAAGGGAUGUUUCAACUGUUGCUACUUGAUGCACAGGUUAAGGCACUUAAUGAAUAAACUCUUUUCUUAAAACUUU